rnacentral:lncRNA from 1 species
UGUACAUGGUUACAUUUGUGGUGAGGUGAGAAUUGAACACAAUGAUGGGUACAUGACCAUAUAUACUCGCUACCAUAUCAUGACAAAGCUGAUAAAUCAUUCAGAUUACUGGCACACGUCAAAACCAAAACUGUAUAUAACGCAUAGUUCUAGCAAUAACAAAUAAUUUAUUAAAUCCAAGAUAACUUUCAAACAAUAUUAUACUAUAGAUAUAAUGUGGAAUUUAGAUAAAAAUUGGA